GGCGAACGGGUGAGUAACACGUGAGCAACCUGCCCCUGACUCUGGGAUAAGCCCGGGAAACUGGGUCUAAUACCGGAUACGACUCCUUGCCGCAUGGUGGGGGGUGGAAAGUUUUUCGGUUGGGGAUGGGCUCGCGGCCUAUCAGCUUGUUGGUGGGGUAGUGGCCUACCAAGGCGACGACGGGUAGCCGGCCUGAGAGGGCGAUCGGCCACACUGGGACUGAGACACGGCCCAGACUCCUACGGGAGGCAGCAGUGGGGAAUAUUGCACAAUGGGGGGAACCCUGAUGCAGCGACGCCGCGUGCGGGAUGACGGCCUUCGGGUUGUAAACCGCUUUCAGCAGGGACGAAUCAAGACGGUACCUGCAGAAGAAGCGCCGGCUAACUACGUGCCAGCAGCCGCGGUAAUACGUAGGGCGCAAGCGUUGUCCGGAAUUAUUGGGCGUAAAGAGCUCGUAGGCGGCUUGUCGCGUCGGACGUGAAAGCUCGGGGCUUAACCCUGAGUCUGCGUUCGAUACGGGCAGGCUAGAGGCAGGUAGGGGAGAACGGAAUUCCCGGUGUAGCGGUGAAAUGCGCAGAUAUCGGGAGGAACACCGGUGGCGAAGGCGGUUCUCUGGGCCUGUACUGACGCUGAGGAGCGAAAGCGUGGGGAGCGAACAGGAUUAGAUACCCUGGUAGUCC
rnacentral:rRNA from 1 species